rnacentral:misc_RNA from 1 species
GACAGAAAAAUCUGAUGUGUAUUCUUUUGGGGUAGUGCUAUUCGAAGUGUUGUGUGCUAGACCAGCAUUAAUUCCUAACAUGCCGAAAGGGCAAGUGAAUUUGGCUGAUUGGGCUUGUAGGAGCUGUAAAAAAGGAAAUCUUCAACAAAUAAUUGAUCCAAAUUUGGAAGGACAAAUCGCGCCAGAGUGCUUAAACAAGUUUGCAGAAGCAGCAUACAAUUGCUUGAAGGAUCAAGGAGUCCAAAGGCCAUCAAUGAAUGACGUUGUUUGGAAUUUGGAAUUUAUAUUAAAGCUUCAAGAAGCAGCUGAUAAUAGAGGUCACAAAAUGGAAUUGAACAGUUAUCCGACUAGCCCGUCUUUCCCAUUGAUUAUGAAUGAUCAUACCAAUAUAUCUACAGAUGAAGGAUUCGAGGAAUUUUCAGGUUCAAAUGAAGUUGGAGAAAAAUACACAAGCAGUGCUUCAUCCAUGACCACAACUAGUGAUGACAAAUUGAAGAGUGAAACCAUUUUCUCUGAGAUUUUGAAUCCAUCGGGACGAUGAGAUUGUUACAACUAGUAUGAUAAAUAUUACAUAUUAGUUCUUCUCUGUUUCCUUUUUCGUCUGUUGAAUUUAUGUCCUUAUUAUAUGUGGAUGAUGAACUGAAGCCAUUAUUCAGAAGUAUAUAAGCUAUAAAAUACUUUCAUUAUAUUUU